rnacentral:pre_miRNA from 1 species
UGAUCAAGGUGGCUGUGUCUUGUGUCCACUGCUUCAAAUCACAGCCUGCUUUGGUCAUU